rnacentral:rRNA from 1 species
GGUUGCGAUCAUACCAGCACUAAUGCACCGGAUCCCAUCAGAACUCCACAGUUAAGCGUGCUUGGGCGAGAGUAGUACUAGGAUGGGUGACCCCCUGGGAAGUCCUCGUGUUGCAACCC